CGCCGCAGUGGGGAAUCUUGGACAAUGGGCGCAAGCCUGAUCCAGCCAUGCCGCGUGAGUGAUGAAGGCCUUAGGGUCGUAAAGCUCUUUCGCCAGAGAUGAUAAUGACAGUAUCUGGUAAAGAAACCCCGGCUAACUCCGUGCCAGCAGCCGCGGUAAUACGGAGGGGGUUAGCGUUGUUCGGAAUUACUGGGCGUAAAGCGUACGUAGGCGGAUUAGUCAGUCAGAGGUGAAAUCCCAGGGCUCAACCCUGGAACUGCCUUUGAUACUGCUAGUCUUGAGUUCGAGAGAGGUGAGUGGAAUUCCAAGUGUAGAGGUGAAAUUCGUAGAUAUUUGGAGGAACACCAGUGGCGAAGGCGGCUCACUGGCUCGAUACUGACGCUGAGGUACGAAAGUGUGGGGAGCAAACAGGAUUAGAUACCCUGGUAGUCCACACCGUAAACGAUGAAUGCCAGUCGUCGGGCAGUAUACUGUUCGGUGACACACCUAACGGAUUAAGCAUUCCGCCUGGGGAGUACGGUCGCAAGAUUAAAACUCAA
rnacentral:rRNA from 1 species